rnacentral:rRNA from 1 species
AGAGUUUGAUCAUGGCUCAGGAUGAACGCUAGCGAUAGGCCUAACACAUGCAAGUCGAGGGGCAGCACAUGAGGUAGCAAUACUGAUGGUGGCGACCGGCGCACGGGUGAGUAACGCGUAUGCAACCUGCUACAACAGGGGAAUAACCCGUUGAAAGACGGACUAAUACCCCAUAAUACAGGGAUCCCGCAUGGAAUAUUUGCUAAAGAUUUAUCGGUUGUAGAUGGGCAUGCGUUCCAUUAGCUGGUUGGUGAGGUAACGGCUCACCAAGGCAACGAUGGAUAGGGGAACUGAGAGGUUUAUCCCCCACACUGGUACUGAGACACGGACCAGACUCCUACGGGAGGCAGCAGUGAGGAAUAUUGGUCAAUGGACGCAAGUCUGAACCAGCCACGUCGCGUGAAGGAAGACGGCCCUACGGGUUGUAAACUUCUUUUGUAAGGGAAUAAAGUGGGCCACGUGUGGCUUUUUGCAUGUACCUUACGGAUAAGGAUCGGCUAACUCCGUGCCAGCAGCCGCGGUAAUACGGAGGAUCCGAGCGUUAUCCGGAUUUAUUGGGUUUAAAGGGUGCGCAGGCGGGAGAUUAAGUCGGCGGUGAAAUUUUGCAGCUCAACUGUAAAAGUGCCUUCGAAACUGGUUUCCUUGAGUGUAGAUGAAGUAGGCGGAAUUUGUGGUGUAGCGGUGAAAUGCAUAGAUAUCACGAGGAACUCCGAUUGCGCAGGCAGCUUACUAAACUACUACUGACGCUCAGGCACGAAGGCGUGGGGAUCAAACAGGAUUAGAUACCCUGGUAGUCCACGCAGUAAACGAUGAUUACUAGCUGUUUGCGAUACAAUGUAAGCGGCUGAGCGAAAGCGUUAAGUAAUCCACCUGGGGAGUACGUUCGCAAGAAUGAAACUCAAAGGAAUUGACGG